UGUGCGUAAACCCUAGCAUCAUUGCUAAAAUUACACAAAAUGGUGUAAAUAUAACUUUAUACCAAAUAUAAUAUAAUUGUCUAUAAAUUAAUAUUAAAAAUGGCUGAUACGGACUGGAGAGAAAUAUUAAGUUAUUCUCAAAAGGAAUUAAUAGAAACCGAUAAAGAUAAAUUAUGUGAAAGUUUGUCUUGGAUGGAAGCUGACGAUAUCGAACUAAACUUUACAGAUUUAAAAACUUUGUUUCGACUUGCUCAAGAUAUUUUAAAAUACAAAAGUGAACAGGUAAACAAUUUACUCGGACAAAUAGAAAUUAAUCAAAGAAAGUAUGAUAAAUCGAAAUCAAAGGGUCAAAUUAUUGAUUCACCUAACAGAGGUGUUGACAAUGUACUAGAAACAAUAACACACCAAGAGGAAGUUAUAAAAACAAACAAAGAGAUUUUAGAGCAAUUAUACACAGAUAUUGCUGAGUUAGAAGGUCGCAAAAAAGAAAUUAAAGCCGAGAUGAAUAACUUAGACAAAGAUAGUGAAUCAAGCCGUGAUGUGUUAUCUGAAAUAAAUACAAUGGCCCAAUUGGAAAAUGAAAUAACUAUGAAGAAUAGACACAUUAGAAAAUUAUUGAGUGAUAUAAAGAUACUAGACGAAGAAAAUACGAAGCUUAAAGCAAAGGUGUCUGUAUUAAAGGAUAAAUUAACAGAAGCUACAAAACUUAUUGAAAAUCUAACUGAACAACUACUCACAUUAAACAAUGAAAGUAACCAACUCAAAGAAAUUCUUGGUCAAUCUGAAGAAGCCAAAGCACUUCUUUCCAGCGAAGUAGAGUCUUUUAAAAAAAAACUGUUUGAAAAAGACAACAAUAAAGAUAAAACUUAUGAAGAGAUUAAGUCUAAAGCUCAACAUUGGAGGAAUAUUGCACGAUCGAAAAAAGCCGAAAUAGAAAUGUUAUCUAAUGAAAACAUGAAAUUAAAAGGCCUAAUAAUCCAAGUUGCACAGCCAUCAACUCCACAAAAGGAGUUACCUGAAGAAGACCUUGCCAAAGAGUUUAAAAUUAAAGAACUACAGGAGAAACUUUUGGAAGCAUCAAAUAAGAUAACGCAAUCGGCCAAUGUAAUUGACUUGCUGAGAACUGAGAACAGACAACUUAAAUUAACUAUGGAAGAAGUACCCGAGUCUGUAUCGGAAAUUAAAAACGAGAGUGACGAUGGCAAAGAACGAGUUAUGAUAAAUAAACUAAAAAGGAAAAUAAGAAAUCUGACGGUUUCCUUACAAGAAGCCGAAGAAAUGUUAGCAAUUAGAGAAAAAGAGCUAACAGAAAUAACGUCGCAACUGCAAAUGGUGCAAUCUAAUGAAAGUAUUAAUGUUCUACUGCAAGAAAUGAAGAAUAAAAAACGUCAGUUGAAAUCUAAAGAUGAUGGCAUAAAAUCUCUUGUUCAAGAAAUUAAUAAUAUAAAUCAAAUAGUCGACGAUUUACAACUAGAAAAUGAAGUUUUGAGAACAAAGAUAAAUAUACCCCGGAAUGAAAAAAUUCCAUUACAUGGUAUUAUGAAAAAGUAUCAAAUAAUCGAAGAAAAUUAUACUAAACUAGACAGAGAAUUUAAAACUAUCGAGAAUAAACUGGUUUCUGUCGAAAUGGAUAAUCAUAAUUUGAAGUCAAAAAUAUGUAAACUGAUCAAAGUAUUAAAUAACUUAGGAUAUGACGAUGAUAAGAUAAACCAUAUUUAUGAUAGCAGCGAUAGUGAAGCUAUUCCGGUUUCGAGAGAAAAAGAUGUGACCCAAAAAACUACAAGUGAUGAUAAUAUAAAUUUUGUGAGUUCUAUAAAAGAUGAAGAAAUGCAAGCAAUUGUUGAAGAAAACGAAGCUUUAAGAAAAGGCUUAGAAGAUAUUUUAAAUUUUUUAAAAGACAAUAGUACAACGACAUCAGGAAUUUUGAAAUUAGAAUGUCCUAGUCUAGAUGCGGUAUUACGAUCUAUGGAAGCUAGACAUACAGCAGGCUGGUAUGCACCACACAUGGCCACGGUUAUGGAACUUAGAGCUGCAUUAGGUGGAAAAGAUGCUUUACUUAUAGCACUACAUGAAGCUAGGAAAGAAACCUACGAUAUUAUGGCUCAGUUAGCAAUAGAAACACAAAAAUCUACAGAUCUUGAACAAAAAAUUCAUGAAAUUGAAUCUACUAAAGAAUCACAAGACAAAAUCGAUAUAAUUAAUGACAAAAAAGUUGACACUCGAGAUUUCGGAUCUUGGGUAUCUGAAAAUGAACAAAUAAAUAUUGAUUUUCUCGAUAAGGCUCAAAUUGACACAAUAUUAUCACAAAAUAAUGGCUUAUAUGAUGAUCAAUUAAAAAAAGCAUUAAUUUAUUUUCAUAAUAAAUUCAAAAAUAUUUUUGAUAAAAUGACAUCUAUUGCUAUCCAAACAAGUGAUGAUCUCAAUAAAUGGGUAUUACAAGAAGAGCAAUAUAAGACAGAAAUAGAAAAUUUAAAGGCACAGCUAUCACAAAAAGAUGACGAAGAUAUUAGUGACAUUUCCCCUGGACUAAUAGAUUCCCCAAGUAUUGGUUAUAUACAAAGAAAAUGUUUAUAUUUGGAAGAGUCAUAUAAAUACAUUAGAACUUUGAAUGAAAACAUGAAGAAUGAAAUUUUAGAAAAUAAGAAAGAUUUUAUGAUUGCAACAUCAGAUUUUGAAUAUCAAAUUCAAGGGCUUAUACUCUCUGUUAUUAAUUUAAUUGAUAGGCUUCGAUCUACUAUACCGGUCGAAUUAUUUUGGCAGCAAAAUAUUAUCUUGAAUGAAAUUACUGUAAAAUAUCGAAAAUUAGUGGAAAAUGGCGUAAGAAAAAAUAAUGAAUUUGAAAAUCUGUUCAAAAGUUUAGAAGAUAUUAAACAUGACAUAAUGAACACAUUCAAGGAAAAGUUACCUCAGAUAAACAGUGAAAAAAAUAAAGAACAACAACUAUCUAACAUAGAACAAUCUAUUCUUCAAAAACAAUUACAUGAAAUGUGCAAUGAACUUAAAAAUAAAAAUAUGAGAAUAGAGGAACUAGAAGAUCAAAACGCAAAGCUACAAGAAACACAGGCAAAACUAAUAGAUGAAAACCUAUCUGCUAUGACAAAAGAAGAAAUAAAUAUUUUAAAAAAUCAAUUACAGAAGGUAGUCGAUGAUAAUAUGCUUCUUAAACAACAGUGCCAAUAUAUUGGAAAACAAUUAGAUGUGACACUAUUACAGUUACAAGACUCACAGUAUAGAUAUAUUAACAAGGAUACAGAAAUUAAUAUGUUAAGACAUCAAAUUCUUGAUUUACAAUCUACGGGAGACAAUAAAGCCAUUAUUGCCAGGCUAAGUGGCGAAGUUUUGGUAGCACAUUUACAAGCUCUAGAAAGUAAUAAAAAAAUAGAUAGAUUAAUUUCUGCAUUAAAUAAAGAAAAGCAAUCAAAAUUGGAAGCUGAAGAAAUGUUAAAAGCACGUCAAAAGAUUUACGAUGUUUAUACGUCCAGAUAUGAAUCUAAAUUCAGGUACAUGUAUGAAGUAAUGCAAACUUUACGACAGCAAUAUCAAGGAAGUUUACCAUUGGCUUCUAUAGAAAACUACCUUAACAAUAUUGAUGAUCUAUCUCAUAAAACAUAUGCUGUUAAUGAAAAACUUUCCGAAAUAGAAGACCUUCAAUCUAAUUUGAUUACCAAAUACACAAUAUUUGAUCAAAUUCUAGAUGUGUCUAAAAGCAAAUGUUUAGAAUUACAAAAUAGUUGUCCUCAUAAAUUAAAAAUGAUAGUCUUGGAAAGAACAAAAUCUCAUGAGAUUGAUCACUUAAAUACAAAGAAUAGAAUGUUAGAACAAUCUCGUAGACAUUUAUUUAAGCGCUGCAGUAACCUUGAAAAAAAUCUGUUGCUUUUAAAUCAAGGUUUUGAAAAAUCUAAUUUAUAUGAAUCAAUAGUAAAACAAAAAUUAAGCGAAACUGGCAAUGAUUCUAAUUUAGAAGUAGAAGAUAUUCAUUCAGAUGAUGAAAAUACAAGAAAAAGUCAAACUAUAACUUUACCUCGACCCAAAGUACUAAGACCCUCGGAAGAAACAUCAAACAUCACUUAUAAUAUUUCACAAGAUUCCGUCCCAAGCAAUUUACAAGAAUAUUCUAUUAAAACAGAUAUUGAAAAACGAGAAGUUGUUCAUGUUCUAGUUCAAACUUCUUGUACAGAAAUUGAGAAUAAAACUAAAUCAGUACAAACAGAUGAAGAUAAGAUAUUAGUAAGCCUAAACUAUCAAUUGAAUAGCCUUAAGAAUGAUAAAGAUAAACAAAUUAAUGAAUUAACUGAAGCACUGUCGUUAAUUCAUCAAAGAACAGAAGACAUUCAGAAAUUAAAUAGCCAAAAAUUUAAUUUAGAAUCUACAAUUCAAACUCUUAAAGAUGCAAAUCUUGAAAAAGAAAAACAAAUUCAGAAGUUACAUAAUGCACUUGAAGAUUUAAAACAGCAACUUAAUAACGACAAAAGUAUUAACAUUGCAGAAAUUAAUAAAAUUAAGGAUAUCGCUAAUGAGGAUAAUAAAUCACUUUUAGUUACUAUCAAACAAUUAGAAAAUGAAAAAAGUAAUUUAAUUGAUGAAUAUAAAGAAUUAUUAAGAAAUGAAAGAGAAGAGUAUUCUAAAACCAUGAAAGAUAUGAAUGUAAAAAUAAUGGAAUUACAAUCGCAACUAGACAGGAAAGCGAGCGAUUCGAACGGUUCUAAUACGGAGGCGCUUAAAGGAUUUGUAACAAAAUAUACUUCAAAAAUAAACGAUCUAGAGGACAAGUGUUUUAAUCUUCAAAGCGAACUGGAUGGAUGUAAAACAGAAUUACUCACAAAUAACAGUGAAUUGGAUCGUUGGAAACAACUGGCUUCUGAACGGCUUAUAAAAAUGGAACAACUCAACUCUCAACUAGAUAAACGUCAUUGUCAUGAGGUAGAAGCAUACAAAGCAGAAAAUCAACACUGGCUUUCUCAAAUUCAUGAAACUCAACAGGUAUACUUGGAGUUACGUGCACGACUUACAGAACAGAAAACGUUACACGUCAAACAAAUGGUAGAGAAGAAUUCACAAAUCAAGCAGUUGCAAACUAUUAUACAUGAUCUGAAGGCACAAAUAUUGAACAUGCAGACUAUGAUUUCUGUAAACGACCCAACUUUUGAUCUUUCUGCGAUUGUGGAAGUUGAAGAAAGCAGUGACGUUUUAUCCCAACACGGCUCUGACCGUUUGGAGCUCAAAUUUGACUCUACUAUAGAUUUAGGGGAUUUUCAAGACCACAUGAUGAGAAUGCCUGCCACGUCAACCGCUAUUUGGCAAGAGCCACUUAUAGAUAGAUUACGUCGAGAGAAACAGUUAACAAGUAAACAAAACGUAAUACUCCGAAGACAAAUUAAGGCUCUCGCGGCCCGAGAGAAACGUGCUCGGCUCGACGCGCAGAACUUAAAGAGCCAAAUUAUGAGAAUGGUCGAACGCAGUUAGAAUCACUUCGUAUAGAAAUUGCAAAUUUGAAGCGCAGCAUAUUGGACAAGGAUUUGCUGUUGGAGAAAUCUAAAGAAAUGCUUAAAAUAGCGGCUGAAAGAGAAGAUGAACUGCUAAGAGAGAAUGCAAUGUUAAGAUGUCGUAUAGAUGAACUCACAAGACCUAAAGGAGGAUUUUUAUCUGCAUAAAUAUUACUUAAUAUAUAGAUUUAAAAGCGACGGCGUGACAAAUAUGUAUGUCUGUAUGUAGAUUUAAAAAAUAAAACACUUGCACGUUUUUUAAAUUUUAAUAAAAAAUAAACAUUAAGGUCACAUUUUUUGUUACAAUAUAAGGGCAUUAAAAUACACUCUGAUAAAUAGUCCGUUAUUUUUAUUGGAUACCUAUUACGUUAUAAUACUAAAGGCAGCUCUAUGUUCUAGAUGGAUUUUGACCUACGUAUUUUUUAUUUUGAUCCAUCAUUCCGUUAUCUUUAUAAAUAAGUACAAGUAAUUGCAUAUUUUCAGGAACAAUAAUAUAAGUUAUUCAGACAGGUGUGCUAAGAAUAUAUCAAUGGUUCUUAACCUUUUAGUAAUGAGGGACCUAAGACAAAAUUUCUGAUUUACCAUGAACCACCAACUGUUUGGACCUCAAACAGUAAAGGGAUGUAGAUAUUUAUUCCAUAAAUAAAACACACGUACAUUUAUUUUAAUGAAUGAGGUGUUAUUUUGGGAAAAUCAAUAAAAAUCUUUUGAUAGCGGAAAGAAAUAAAAUAAUUCUAAUCAACUAACCAAGCACAUACAUUUAUUGUUCAAAUUGUAGUGCAAUUUUUGCGUUGUGCCGACUCAUUGCUCUUUGUUAAAUCUUUUUCAGACGACAUCGCGGACAAUUUUGAUUGUUUCCAGAAACUAUGAAUGGUCCGCGUACCAUU
rnacentral:misc_RNA from 1 species